UUUGAAUCUCAACUAUGAUCAUCUUGAUUCUAUUGGGAUUGAUCCGCAGGUUACUUUAGAAGGUCCAAUUGAGGAUGUCGCUUGGUUGAAAGCUCAAGAAGCUGAGGAUUUGCUUAGAGACUUGGGCAUACUGAGUCCUUUUUCAGCAAGGAAUUCACCUCGUGGUAUAUUUUGUAGCCGACUUUGAAUCUUCGGUCCAUCAGUGCCAUUGGAUAUGACAUGGACUACACUUUGAUACAUUACAAUGUGAUGGCUUGGGAAGGACGGGCUUAUGAUUACUGCAUGGACAAUCUGCGAAACAUGGGUUUCCCAGUUGAUGGACUUGCAUUUGAUCCUGACUUGGUAAUUAGGGGUCUUGUCAUAGACAAAGAGAGAGGCAAUCUGGUUAAAGCCGAUCGAUUUGGUUAUGUAAAGAG
rnacentral:misc_RNA from 1 species